ACUGACGCUGAACUGGAGAAGAAUUUGCAGAUGGCGAGGUGAACCCGGAAGAAGAUAGGGCUACCGAGUCACCUGAUUUCCUGCAAUUUCUGGUAAUUACACCCAUAUUUGUUGAUUUAUUCUUUUUUUUUUGUGAAGAUUUAUUUUGCUGAUUUUAGGAUGACUGAUUUCAGGAGGGACUAAUGAUUCGUAUCAGGGGUAACUAUGACUGUUGCAGUUCCUCCUUCGAUGCCGAGUCUGCAACCCCGAUGA
rnacentral:lncRNA from 1 species